rnacentral:ncRNA from 1 species
AAAACACAGGCCUCUGCAAACUCGUAAAGAGGAUGUAUAGGGGCUGACGCCUGCCCAGUGCCGGAAGGUUAAGGGGAGGGGUGAGGCCGUAAGGCGUAGCUCCGACCCGAAGCCCCGGUAAACGGCGGCCGUAACUAUAACGGUCCUAAGGUAGCUGUGCUGCCUGCCUGCAGGGUAACCUGCAGGGCAAUACCCGGCUGUAUGCGGGAAAACCCUUAGAGCUCUUCCUACUUGGGGAGGUUUUCUCCAAGUAAAAAUGGAAGAGAUUGGGCAAUCCGCAGGAAACCCCGAAAGGGGGAUCCUCAGAGACUGUACGCCGGGCAUCCAGCUUCCCAGCGAGGUGCGGUGUGAUGGAGCUUCAUCCAAAGUGGGUCGUUGGGUUCGUGGAUGGAGAAGGAUGUUUCUAUGUGGGUGUGAACAAGAACGAGGCGAUGAGCUUGGGUUAUCAGGUGUUGCCUGAGUUCAGAGUCGUUCAACACCGGCGAGACAUCCAAGUCCUUUACGCGCUCAAGCGCUUCUUCGGAUGCGGUACGGUCAGAAGAAACCACGAAGACAGAUACGAGCUCAGGAUAAGGAAAUUUGAGUGUCUGAAAAAGGUCGUUGAAUUCUUUCAAAAUCAUCCACUCAAGACGAAGAAGAACGUCGAUUUCAAGAAAUUCAGCAAGAUCAUCAAGAUGAUGGAUGAAGGAAAGCACCUCACGAGGGAAGGGCUGAUCGAGAUCGUGCAGAUAGCUCUCGAAAUGAACACGGGAAAACAUGAGCAGCUGAAGCAGAUCUUGUGCGAAUUGACUGGGAAGGCUGGAUGAAGAUACAGUCCACCCUUGGUUCGAAAGACCAAGAUGAUGGUGAGCGAAAUACCUUGUCGGGUAAGUUCCGACCUGCAUGAAUGGCGUAACGACUGGGGCGCUGUCUCGGCGAGGGACCCGGUGAAAUUUCAGUGAGGGUGAAGAUGCCCUCAACCUGCGGCUAGACGGAAAGACCCCGUGGAGCUUCACUGCAGCCUGGUAUUGGAUUCUGGCACACCGUGUACAGGAUAGGUGGGAGGCUGUGAACCCGGCUCGCCAGGGUCGGGGGAGCCACCGGUGGGAUACCACCCUCGGUGUGUCGGAAUUCUAACCUGAACCUGUGAAGAGCAGGUUGGGGACAGUGCCAGGUGGGCAGUUUGACUGGGGCGGUCGCCUCCUAAAAAGUAACGGAGGCGCGCGAAGGUCGGCUCAGGUGGGUUGGAAAUCCACCGUUGAGUGCAAGGGCAUAAGCCGGCCUGACUGUGAGGCCGACGGGCCGAGCAGAGGGGAAACCCGGCCCUAGUGACCCGACGACUCCGGGUGGAAGGGUCGUCGACAACGGACAAAAGUUACCCCGGGGAUAACAGGCUAGUCUCGCCCGAGAGUUCACAUCGACGGCGAGGAUCGGCACCUCGAUGUCGGCUCAUCCCAUCCUGGGGCUGAAGCAGGUCCCAAGGGUUAGGCUGUCCGCCUAUUAAAGGGGUACGUGAGCUGGGUUCAGACCGUCGCAAGACAGGUCGGUCCCUAUCGGCCGCAGGCGCAGGAGGUUUGAGGGGGGUCACCCCUUGUACGAGAGGACCGGGGUGAGCGGGCCUCUGGUGUACCGGCUGUCCUGCCAAGGGCAUUCGCCGGGUAGCUAUGCCCGUAAGCGAUAACCGCUGAAGGCAUCUAAGCGGGAAGCGCGCCCUAAGAUUAGACCUCCCAUCCCGUUAAGGGAGUAAGGCCGGUCCGAGAACAGGACCUUGAUAGGCCGGUGGUGUAAGCGCCGCAAGGCGUUGAGCCAACCGGUACUAAUCGGCCGAGGCCUUGACCUC